rnacentral:lncRNA from 1 species
CUGAAAUUUAUCAGUUAUUGAGUUAACUAGUUCCAUGUAAAGGAUCGGGAUGAAUGAUUCAGAUUACCCUUAUCUAUUUCACCAAGAGGAGAGCAAGAGCAGUUUUCAUUGUCUUGCUGGCAGAGAAACACUUCAUGCACAAAGGAGCAGAGAUGAUCAAAUAUGCAUGAAGGGAGAGGAGAAAGAGAGCGAGAGCCAUAGGGAUGGAGAAACAACAGCCACAGAAGAUGAAAAGAAAAUAUGAGCUGAAAUGAGCAAUAAUCAAAGAGAGGUUUUCUUUCAGUAAUUGUAUCCUGGAAUACCGAAUGGAAAACCCCAGCUUUGGCAGCAGUUACUCUCAGCGGCUAGAGAGAUGAAUAAAGUUCUACACAACAGAGUGUCA